GAGAAUUUACACCAAAUUAUAUUUAUGAGAAUUUUUGCACACCACAUAUUUACCAGAAUUUACGCCAAAAUAUUUACGAGAAUUUACGCUGAGAAUAUUUACGAGAAUCUGCACUAGAAAGUCUUUACGAGAAUUUGCACUGGUAAUAUUUACGAGCAUUUUGUAUUCUACAAAUCCAUCUUAAUUUACGAGAAGUCUCUAUCCGGCACUUCUCUAUCUGGCACUGCCCAGCGAGCAGAAGGGGCGACUCCUCUGGAAGGUGUGGUCGGGUUGCGCCUCCUCUGGACCACACCAUCGUUGGGAGCCUGUUUGUUGCAGAGGAAGGAGCGUUGCCACCAUGAGAACACUCAUUGCCAAGGGGAUCCCGGAUCUAGGCGCAGUGGGGAGGAGCAGCAGUGGCCGCCAGUUACGCCGCUGUGGGGGUGAAGCAGCCGCGGCUGCCAUCCGAGCGAGGUGGGUCGCGUCGUCACCGGGAAGCCACGCCUGCGUGGGUCGACCCGCGCCGACAUCGCACCACAUCCACGCGAGGCGUGGGCGCUGGGGACGAGUAGCCAUGGCUGCCGGUUACGCAGCCACGAGGAAGAAGCAGCGGCGGCCUCCAUGCGGAGGCAGGCGCGUUGCCGCCAGGAUUCCCGUGCAGUGGGUCGAGCCACACCGACACCGGACAACAUCCACGCGAGACAGUGGCGCAUGAGAGAGGAGCUACCGUGUGGCCGCCGCCGAUAGCACCGCCAUGGGGGAGAAGCGGUCGUGGCCGUCGGUGGAGGAGGAGGUAACCCAGUCUAUAGCGUGAGUCAUCUGACCCAUACUGCCUCCGCAUAAAAGGUACUCCCUCCGUCCCAAAUUCCAAGAAUCUUGGAGAGUCAAAGUUUUUCAAGUUUGACCAAAUUUAUAUAGCAAAAUAAUAACAUUUUUAGUACCAACCAAGUAUCAUUAGAUUCUUUUUUAGUUAUAUUUUCAUAAUGUACCUAUUUUAUGACAUAAUUUUUUAUAUUUCUCUCUAUAUUUUUGGUCAAACUUGAAAAUGCUUUGACUCUCCAAGAUUCUUGGAAUAACUUAUAAUUUGGAACGGAGGGAGUAGUAGCGAUGUAAUUUGGGGGAAGGAGCCACGACGUUUUCAGGGGGAAUUAAAUCACUGCAUUCAUGGGUGUAUUAAUUCCAGCAAUGGAGGGGACCGCGUCAAACCGAGGCCUUGUUUAGAUACACCCAGAAACCCAAAACUUUACAAGAUUCCCCGUAAUUAGGUAAACUGCGUAAUUAGUUUUUGUUUUCGUCUAUAUUUAAUGCUUCAUGCAUGUGCCGCAAGAUUUGAU
rnacentral:lncRNA from 1 species